UCAGCACCACAUUGUUUCCCGUUACAAGA
rnacentral:sRNA from 1 species